GCAAAACAACCAGGAAGUGGCGGCAGCGGACCGAAUUCUUUCUGCGUUUUUAGGGGCAGGUGUCCUCAGCAUCACCAUCCUGAGGUCGGAACACAGACGCUCAUUGAAGCCACUCUGCCAGCUGCGAGACGCACAGACGGCCCGUCUCACAGUUCACGGGCAGGGUCACGGGUGCUCCUUCAGCCUGGAGUUGGAAACCCGGAAGUUCUCUGGCGGAGCGCGGGAUUUGAAUUUGGGUUAUUUUUUUUCAGACACGCCCAAUUCUUCCGCUCUAAGCAGAUGGCCUGCAAGAAGCAAGAGUGAACAAAAGCAUAAAAGGCCAAGGAACUUCCCAAAGGUCAUGAGAACAAGUCAAUAGCUAGAGUGGGAUUCAAGUGAAGAUUGGUCUGCUGUGUUGCUGCCUCUCAACAAUGUGUAAUCACUUCAUCUCCUAGUCACUCUCCUAAACCCAAAGGGGCUUUUUCUGCAUGCCUGAAGUGUAUGCCCAUUUCUCAGUCAGCCGGUAAUACCAUUUCCUCACUAAGUGACGGAGAGCUGUGAAAUACAAGCACAAAACUAAAACCUGAAGCAAACAAGAAACCAACCUGGCCAGCGACCUGUUCAGAAUUGGCCAUGGAAUGACCAAUCCAGAACAACUGGCAGAUUCUCGGAUUCCCUUAUCCUGAAUGUUUGACACCAAGCACAAGCAAGGGAAUAGCUGUGUCUUCAUCUGAAAGGGAAAAAAGAACCUUAAAAAAAAUGUAUAGGGAAAGUGUAGCAAAACAUACUAAGAGGGGAAAAUAAGUAGCGCCUGGUCUAGCACCCUGGAAAAGCCUACAGUUGUACAAAGGAACAGAAGUUGGGCAGCUUUCCUUGGGCCAGUUCCUGAAUGAUGUGAAUGUUGAACAUUUUAAAAGAGAGAUGGAGUGUGGAUGGGAGGCUUGUGGCCCUUUCAGUAAAGGGACUAAUACAAAGGGUUAAAAUUAAGAAUGAACUGCAUUAUAUGGCUAGGAAAAUUAUUCCCACUGUAGCUGAGUUCUAGGCAGAGUGAAGAGUUCGUGGCCUUUCAAAGGCUCAGCCACAUUUUCAAAUGGUCUACUGAAGCUAACACCUGUAUUUAAAACCAUGAGCAUACUACUUUUACUAUAUUAAAAACUCUGAUGCUCUUCAGCAGGUCUCGAUCAGUAUUUACACUGACAAUUUUAAAGUAAUUGAAGUCUACUAACUGAACACGUGGGAAGGAGAAUGCUAAUUUUGUGAGAGUCUGUUAUGGGCAACUAUCAUCCCAUUAAUACCUUAUGUCACUGAUUCUCAGCAGUUGCACUGUUCAGUAAAGCUGCUGGUUUAUAUAUUAGAAACGGAAGCCAAAUAAUAACAAUGAUGAUGAUGGUGAUGCGAUGGGGUUGGAAAGAUAGCUUAUCAGCUAAGAGCACUUGCUGCUCUUGAAGAAGACCCAGGUUUGGUUAGUAGCACUUGCAUGGUAUCUCACAACCAUUCAA